rnacentral:rRNA from 1 species
GCGAACGCUGGCGGCAGGCUUAACACAUGCAAGUCGAGCGCUCGUAGCAAUACGGGAGCGGCAGACGGGUGAGUAACACGUGGGAACGUGCCUUUUGGUUCGGAACAACUGAGGGAAACUUCAGCUAAUACCGGAUAAGCCCUUACGGGGAAAGAUUUAUCGCCAAAAGAUCGGCCCGCGUCUGAUUAGCUAGUUGGUGGGGUAAUGGCCCACCAAGGCGACGAUCAGUAGCUGGUCUGAGAGGAUGAUCAGCCACACUGGGACUGAGACACGGCCCAGACUCCUACGGGAGGCAGCAGUGGGGAAUAUUGGACAAUGGGGGCAACCCUGAUCCAGCCAUGCCGCGUGAGUGAUGAAGGCCUUAGGGUUGUAAAGCUCUUUCAUCGGGGAAGAUAAUGACGGUACCCGAAGAAGAAGCCCCGGCUAACUUCGU